rnacentral:rRNA from 1 species
UUUUUGCAGGCCCAGUCUGGGCCCAGCAGCCCCCCAAAUUUCCCCUCCAAUAGCGUAUAUUAAAGUUGUUGCAGUUAAAAAGCUUGUAGUUGAACCUUGGGUCUGGCUGGCCGGUCCGCCUCACCGCGAGUACUGGUCCGGCUGGACCUUUCCUUUUGGGGAACCUCAUGGCCUUCACUGGCUGUGGGGGGAACCAGGACUUUUACUGUGAAAAAAUUAGAGUGUUCAAAGCAGGCCUUUGCUCGAAUACAUUAGCAUGGAAUAAUAGAAUAGGACGUGCGGUUCUAUUUUGUUGGUUUUUAGGACCGCCGUAAUGAUUAAUAGGGAUAGUCGGGGGCGACAAUAGUUCGGACUCAGGCCGAAAAGGGAUCGGACCUAUGCCGACUAGGGAUCGGACCUAUGCCGACUAGGGAUCGGACCUAUGCCGACUAGGGAUCGGACCUAUGCCGACUAGGGAUCGAUCCUUGCGAGUGACCCG